UACGGAGGGGGGCUAGCGUUGUUCGGAAUUACUGGGCGUAAAGCGCACGUAGGCGGCUUUGCAAGUUAGAGGUGAAAGCCCGGGGCUCAACCCCCGGAAUUGCCUUUAAAACUGCAUCGCUAGAAUUGUGGAGAGGUAAGUGGAAUUCCGAGUGUAGAGGUGAAAUUCGUAGAUAUUCGGAAGAACACCAGUGGCGAAGGCGACUUACUGGACACAUAUUGACGCUGAGGUGCGAAAGCGUGGGGAGCAAACAGG
rnacentral:rRNA from 1 species